GAGAGAACAACAGGGAUUACCUCAGUAACGGCGAGUGAAGCGGUAACAGCUCAAAUUUGAAAUCUGGCCUCACGGUCCGAGUUGUAAUUUGUAGAGGAUGCUUCGAGCAUGGUCUGGCCUAAGUUCCUUGGAACAGGACGUCAUAGAGGGUGAGAAUCCCGUAUGCGGCCAGGUGCCUACGCUCAUGUGAAGCUCCUUCGACGAGUCGAGUUGUUUGGGAAUGCAGCUCAAAAUGGGUGGUAAAUUUCAUCUAAAGCUAAAUAUUGGCCAGAGACCGAUAGCGCACAAGUAGAGUGAUCGAAAGAUGAAAAGCACUUUGGAAAGAGAGUUAAACAGUACGUGAAAUUGUUGAAAGGGAAGCGCUUGCAACCAGACUUGCGCGCGGCCGACCAUCCGGUGUUCUCACCGGUGCACUCGGCCGUGCUCAGGCCAGCAUCGGUUUUGGCGGCUGGAUAAAGGCCCUAGGAAUGUGGCUCCUCUCGGGGAGUGUUAUAGCCUAGGGUGCAAUGCAGCCUGCUGGGACCGAGGACCGCGCUUCGGCUAGGAUGCUGGCGUAAUGGUUGUAAGCGGCCCGUCUUGAAACACGGACCAAGGAGUCUAACAUCUAUGCGAGUGUUUGGGUGUCAAACCCAUACGCGUAAUGAAAGUGAACGGAGGUGAGAACCCUUAAGGGUGCAUCAUCGACCGAUCCUGAUGUCUUCGGAAGGAUUUGAGUAAGAGCAUAGCUGUUGGGACCCGAAAGAUGGUGAACUAUGCCUGAAUAGGGUGAAGCCAGA
rnacentral:rRNA from 1 species